rnacentral:rRNA from 1 species
GUCUACAGCCAUGCCACCCUGAACAAGCCCUUCCUACCGUCUGAUCUCAGAAGCUAAGCAGGGUCAGUCCUGGUUAGUACUUGGAUGGGAGACCACCUAGAAAGACCAGGUGCUGUAGGCA